rnacentral:tRNA from 1 species
AGUUAAUGAACUUGAAUAAGUAUAUAUUUUGAAAAUAUAAAAUAGAGUAAAACCUCUAUUAACUU